rnacentral:rRNA from 1 species
UCAGUCGACUCCUACGGGGAGGCAGCAGUGGGGGAAUAGUUGCACAAUGGGCGCAAGCCUGAUGCAGCCAUGCCGCGUGUAUGAAGAAGGACCUUCGGGUUGUAAAGUACUUUCAGCAGUGAGGAAGGUAGUGUAGUUAAUAGCUGCAUUAUUUGACGUUAGCUGCAGAAGAAGCACCGGCUAACUCCGUGCCAGCAGCCGCGGUAAUACGGAGGGUGCGAGCGUUAAUCGGAAUUACUGGGCGUAAAGCGCAUGCAGGUGGUUUGUUAAGUCAGAUGUGAAAGACCCGGGGCUCAACCUCGGAAUAGCAUUUGAAACUGGCAGACUAGAGUACUGUAGAGGGGGGUAGGAAUUUCAGGUGUAGCGGUGAAAUGCGUAGAGAUCUGAAGGAAUACCGGUGGCGAAGGCGGCCCCCUGGACAGAUACUGACACUCAGAUGCGAAAGCGUGGGGAGCAAACAGGAUUAGAUACCCUGGUAG